rnacentral:rRNA from 1 species
GCAAGUCGAGCGGUAGCACAGGGAGCUUGCUCCUGGGUGACGAGCGGCGGACGGGUGAGUAAUGUCUGGGAAACUGCCUGAUGGAGGGGGAUAACUACUGGAAACGGUAGCUAAUACCGCAUAACGUCGCAAGACCAAAGAGGGGGACCUUCGGGCCUCUUGCCAUCAGAUGUGCCCAGAUGGGAUUAGCUAGUAGGUGGGGUAAUGGCUCACCUAGGCGACGAUCCCUAGCUGGUCUGAGAGGAUGACCAGCCACACUGGAACUGAGACACGGUCCAGACUCCUACGGGAGGCAGCAGUGGGGAAUAUUGCACAAUGGGCGCAAGCCUGAUGCAGCCAUGCCGCGUGUAUGAAGAAGGCCUUCGGGUUGUAAAGUACUUUCAGCGAGGAGGAAGGCAUUGUGGUUAAUAACCACAGUGAUUGACGUUACUCGCAGAAGAAGCACCGGCUAACUCCGUGCCAGCAGCCGCGGUAAUACGGAGGGUGCAAGCGUUAAUCGGAAUUACUGGGCGUAAAGCGCACGCAGGCGGUCUGUCAAGUCGGAUGUGAAAUCCCCGGGCUCAACCUGGGAACUGCAUUCGAAACUGGCAGGCUAGAGUCUUGUAGAGGGGGGUAGAAUUCCAGGUGUAGCGGUGAAAUGCGUAGAGAUCUGGAGGAAUACCGGUGGCGAAGGCGGCCCCCUGGACAAAGAC